AUUCAUCUUCUUAAAUAUAAUAACAGAUACAUCAUAAAUAAAAAUAAUAAUAAAGUUCAAUUCAAAUAUUUAAUUAAAUCAAAACUGGUUUAGAGCAUCUAAAUCCAAACUAAAUAUCAACCUAAAUCUCAAGAUUCAUAAUUAAAUAACUACAAGCCUGUGAUCAUAAAAUAAACUAAACUUCUACUAUAAAAUUUUCUAGCUUGCUUCGCAAAUCCUCAAGCCUGAAUUUUCUUCACUGGUCCUAACCUUAUUCUUCUGUACAAAAAAAAAAAAAUAUGAGCUAUACUAGCCC
rnacentral:lncRNA from 1 species